rnacentral:rRNA from 1 species
UACGUAGGCAGCAAGCGUUGUUCGGAGUUACUGGGCGUAAAGGGUGUGUAGGCGGUUGCUUAAGUUUGGUGUGAAAUCUCCCGGCUCAACCGGGAGGGUGCGCCGAAUACUGAGUGGCUAGAGUGCGGGAGAGGAAAGUGGAAUUCCUGGUGUAGCGGUGAAAUGCGUAGAUAUCAGGAGGAACACCGGUGGUGUAGACGGCUUUCUGGACCGUAACUGACGCUGAGACACGAAAGCGUGGGUAGCAAACAGG